rnacentral:pre_miRNA from 1 species
UAUAAGGGAUUUUGAGUUUUUGCUUGCAAUAUUUGACCACUCGUCUUAUUCAAAAAUUUUUGAAAUUAUUAUUUAUUUUAUUUAUGAUUUACUUUAUUAUCUAUGGUACUUUAAGCAAAACUUUUCGUUUUUAUCUUUGGAAAAAAAUUAAAUAAGACGAGUGGUCAAACGUUGCAAGAAAAACUUAAA